rnacentral:rRNA from 1 species
UACGUAGGGUGCAAGCGUUAAUCGGAAUUACUGGGCGUAAAGCGUGCGCAGGCGGCUUUGCAAGACAGAUGUGAAAUCCCCGGGCUCAACCUGGGAACUGCAUUUGUGACUGCAUGGCUAGAGUGCGGCAGAGGGGGAUGGAAUUCCGCGUGUAGCAGUGAAAUGCGUAGAUAUGCGGAGGAACACCGAUGGCGAAGGCAAUCCCCUGGGCCUGCACUGACG